UGAGGAAUAUUGGUCAAUGGUCGGAAGACUGAACCAGCCAUGCCGCGUGCAGGAAGGCGGCCUUAUGGGUUGUAAACUGCUUUUAUAUGGGAAGAAUAAGGAGUACGUGUACUUUGAUGACGGUACCAUAUGAAUAAGCAUCGGCUAACUCCGUGCCAGCAGCCGCGGUAAUACGGAGGAUGCGAGCGUUAUUCGGAAUCAUUGGGUUUAAAGGGUCUGUAGGCGGGCUAUUAAGUCAGGGGUGAAAUAUUUCAGCUUAACUGGGAAAUUGCCUUUGAUACUGGUAGUCUUGAAUAUUUGUGAAGUUUUUGGAAUGUGUAGUGUAGCGGUGAAAUGCAUAGAUAUUACACAGAACACCGAUUGCGGAGGCAGGGGACUAACAAAUAAUUGACGCUGAGAGACGAGAGCGUGGGGAGCGAACAGGAUUAGAUACCCUGGUAGUCCACGCUGUAAACGAUGGAUACUAGCUGUUUGGUAGGAAUAUUGAGUGGCUAAGCGAAAGUGAUAAGUAUCCCACCUGGGGAGUACGCACGCAAGUGU
rnacentral:rRNA from 1 species